rnacentral:rRNA from 1 species
UGAGGAACAUGACCUUCGGCGGGGGAUAGCCGGCCCAACGGCCGGGUAAUACCGCGUACGACCUUCCGGGGACAUCCCUGGAUGGUGAAAGCAGCAAUGCGCCGAUGGAGUGCCUCGCGGCCUAUCAGCUAGUUGGUGAGGUAACGGCUCACCAAGGCGACGACGGGUAGCUGGUCUGAGAGGAUGGCCAGCCACAUUGGGACUGAGACACGGCCCAGACUCCUACGGGAGCA